rnacentral:rRNA from 1 species
UACGAAGGGUGCAAGCGUUAAUCGGAAUUACUGGGCGUAAAGCGUGCGUAGGCGGUUUCUUAAGUCUGCUGUGAAAGCCCCGGGCUCAACCUGGGAAUGGCGGUGGAUACUGAGGAGCUGGAGUACGGUAGAGGAAGGUGGAAUUCCCGGUGUAGCGGUGAAAUGCGUAGAGAUCGGGAGGAACAUCAGUGGCGAAGGCGGCCUUCUGGACCAGUACUGACGCUGAGGCGCGAAAGCUAGGGGAGCAAACGGG